rnacentral:rRNA from 1 species
UACGUAGGUGGCAAGCGUUGUUCGGAAUUAUUGGGCGUAAAGAGCUCGUAGGCGGUUCGAUAAGUCGGACGAUGAAAUCUCCGACGCUCAACGUGGAGGGGCCGUUCGAUACUGUCGUGACUCGAGUCCGGUAGGGGAGUGUGGAAUUCCCGGUGUAGCGGUGAAAUGCGCAGAGAUCGGGAGGAACACCCGUAGCGAAGGCGGCACUCUGGGCCGGUACUGACGCUGAGGAGCGAAAGCGUGGGGAGCAACAGG